rnacentral:lncRNA from 1 species
AUGGAUGGCCCAGCCUUAAGGGCAGCCUGUCAUAAAGCACAUUGUAACACUAAAAAUAUGAAGCUGCUGGAGGACCAUCCAUACUACACAAUUACAGCACAGUUAAUCCAUUUUAACGACCAUAGUUUGAUCCCAUGGACCUGGCAAUUUGGUUUAAGGGUUUUGAAUUUUCUGCUUGGCCGUCUUAAGAAUCCCUCUUUCUUUCUCAUCACACUAGAGCACUGGUUCCCAACUUUUUUUUUGACCAGGGAUCACUCUCCAAUAUUAGUACCAAAAGGGUUACAAAUCAGUUUUUGGUCAACUUUAGAUUUUGGUUUGGUUAUUUGGGUUGCUGAUUCAGAAAAUUGCAUUGGAUAGACCACAUCAGCUCUAGUUUCUGAUAUUCACAAAUUACAAAUAUACAUAAGCAUAGUUGCAUGAAGACAGAUGCACUACUGAUGGAAAGGGCAGGGACUUUCCCUCAUUUCCCUAAGGUGGAGCUUAUGAUUCUCUUUUCCCAUUUUACCUUCAUAAUAAAUCUUGUGAGUUAGGGUGAGAGAUAGUGACAGGUCCAAGGUCAUUUGGGGAGAGCAAAUUUCCCCUGUCCUAAUUCAAUACCUUAAUACCUUGGCUACAGAAGAAUGGGACUGGGAUGAAGAAAAAGGUGCAAACUGAGAAUGUAAAGGUACUGUAAAUUUUGGCUGAAGCAUUCUUGGCAACGUCUAUCAUGCUGGAAGAAAAAUGCUAGGCGAGAACAACAGCAAUGAUUCCAUGCAGUGAUAGGUGCAGCCCUGCAGCAGUGCAGGUGUUUUCAUGUCACCAGGUGCAAUGCAAGGUCUCUGUGGUCAUUCAUCCUGAGGCAAACAGUCCAUCAUAUUGCAACAUCUUGCUUAUUACUAAGGUGUUACAAACAUUGUACUCACGAGAAUCUGUUUUUAAUGCCUGCUUGACAUGUUCAGUCCUCACCAAAUAUGUGGAUUGUUCCUUAUCUCGAACGAAGAGUUUAGUUUCCUCCAGGCAUUAAUUCAGGCUGAGUGACUAAUUGCCUUGUUGUGCUUACUUUAUGUUAGACAUGGCCAACUUCUACACUGGAGUGUAGGUCUCCACUUGAUGUUGGACUACAACUCUGAGUCAUUCCCAUUAGCCGUGGCAGCUGGGCCCAUAAGAGUUACACAUUCAGUGACCAGUUCUAUGUCCUCAGUGACCUUCGGUGCAUCUACACUAUAGAAUUAAUACAGUUUUACCCCCACUUUAUCUGCCAUGGCUCAGUGCUAUGAAUCAUGGGAUUUCAUAGCAUUGUAGUAUGAUUACCAACACUUUUGGACAGAGAAGCCUAAAGACCUUGCAGUACUAUAACUCCCAUGAUUCUAAGGCACUGAGCCAUGGCAACCAAAGUGGGGUCAAACUGUCUUAGUUUUGGUAUGCCAUCUGUUCCUAGUGAUUUAUUUCUUCCUUCAGAAAGCUCUGAAUGCAGCUUUCACACAAUUUUCUUAAAUUAUAUGUUCAUAUUCAAAUGUUUCUUCCUCAAAUGAAUCUAUUAUCCUUUCAUCUCUUUUAUAUAGCUCUUUGGGUGUAUUGUUUCAUCAUCUCUUUAUUUCUACUUGGUCAUGUAAUAUGUUCCCUGCUCGCCAUAAAGCAUCUCUACUCUUAGUUUAACAUUCCAUUCCCUUUGAUUGCUCAGAUUUUGUUGAUUUUGCCGAUUUCUCAGAUCUUGUUCUUCCUUUUUGUUGUUUGUAUUCAUUGCAGCUUCUCUACUGUCUGGCUAGAGUUAAUGUCUUUUUUUCAUUUUUCCUUGACAGCAUCCUUCCUGGCAUGAGUUCAAACUUCUUCUGGCACAAUUCUAUUUUCCCCAUUAUCCUUAAAUUCCGUAGGGAUGUUCUUCAGAUUAUAUUCCAGCAUGCUGGGUUAUUUAGAGUUCUUUAGCUGUACAUUUUAAUAUUAUUAGUUGAUGAUCUACACAAAAAUCUGCUCCUUGUCUUCUUUCUUCAGAGAGAAUGGAGCUUCUCUACUUCUUCUUCCAGUUAUGUAGUCUAUUUGAUUUCUAUAGUAGCCAUCAGGUGAGGUUUCUGUAUACAGUUGAUCCUUGGGCUUCUUGAAUAAUCACUUUGAGAUGAAGAGCCAGUUGAUCUCCUGCUUGAUUUCUUGAUUCUGAAUUUUCUUACAAUCUUUAAUUCUGUUUCCUAUUUUUGCAUUCCCAAUCUGAUUCCACUAGUAACCUAAUAUUGGCUCCAUGUCCCAUGCUAACCAUCCCCACAAAGUUGUGACAAAAUAGCCUAACACUUAUAUCCACUUAAUAAUAGCCCAAAUGUAUGGAGGAAUGAUGGGGAAAAACUAGUAGAAAACUGUCCUUCAUAAUGUUUGAGCUCGUGGAUGUAUAUAGGAUCACUUGGUUGGAAUAAAGACUUUCCAUCUGCAUCAGUCCAGCUGUGUGUGGAAAACCUGCCAACCAGAAAACACCAGGCAUGUUUGAAUGUUGCACGUGGCAGGUCGCUGCCAUAAUCAAGGGGUUUCUUGGGCUACAGGGACUCCCAGGAAGAAGGCAUAGUUUACCAUGAGCAUGGAAGCCAGCCACCAUUGCUUCACUCCCACCCUAAACAGCAACCACAGUCACCUGGUAAGUUGGACAUCAUGUUCACUUUAAUGUUGUGAAUGCAUUAUGCAACAAACCAUACCUGAGACUUUUAUUCUCACCACAAUACAGUAUGUGAGUCAAGAAAUCUGUAUGUCAUUGUAGAAUGUGUGAACUAUUGCCACCCUCUAAUCUGAUCUCUCUAGAACUCUGUCCUCAUCACAACAAUAUAUCUGGCCUUGCAUGAAGUUCAUUGCCCCGAAAGGCUUGCUCCAAGAAACUAAUUUGGUGAUUUGGUAUUCUUUCAUUCCAGGAAUUGCAAAAUCAAAAAAGUGAAGAUAAACUUGGAAGCCAAAGGUCACCAGACCUUGACCUUGUUGUCCUCAGGUCUUAUUAUUAAAGAUGUCAUGAUAUAGCCUUAGGGAUUUCAACCUGGGUUUCUGUGUGUCAAGUGCAGCACUUAGGCUAGCACACUGUGUUUCUCUCAAAUCAUUGGUUAUAGAAAUGGUACAGAGUACAGUAGAGUCUCACUUAUCCAACAUAAACGGGCCGGCAGAACGUUGGGUAAGCGAAUAUGUUGGAUAAUGAGGAGAGAUUAGGAAAAAGCAUAUUAAACAUCAAAAAAGGUUAUGAUUUUACAAAUUAAGCACCAAAACAUCAUGUUAUACAACAAAUUUGGCAGAAAAAGUAGUUAAUUACACAUUAAUGCUAUGUUGUAAUUACUGUAUUUACAAAUUUAGCACCAAAAUAUCACAAUGCAUUGAAAACAUUGACUACAAAAAUGCGUUGGAUAAUCCAGAACGUUGGAUAAGUGAAACUUUACUGUAUUAGGAAAGAAGUUAGAUAAAGAAUACAAAAUAGCUACCUGGAUUUGAGGAAGUGGAAUAUGGGAAUCCUAGAUUUCAAACUUCUUUUGUCAGGCUAGAAAAUACUUUUACAUGUUUAUGAAGCUGUCCCAUUGUCAAAGCUGGUGCAAAGAGCCCAGCAGGUUCUGCAGUUUCAUAUGUAUUUCAUUUAUUUUUUAAAACCAGCAGCAGCUUCAGGAAUCUGCAACUUGUGGGAAGAAAAGCUAGAUGAUACAAGAAUGGUUGCUUUAGCUAGUCCUCUGUGCUGAUAAAAGCAGUUUGGGUUAUAGGCAAUGUCAAGAAAAUUAAACAUUUGCAUUUUUCAUCCUGCCCAUUCUUGUCAAGGACAUUUUCAGCUUGUAUGGCUAUUUUAUAUUACAAGUGGACCUUUAAUUUUAUUUACUUUUCCCCAGUCUGUGGCCUAAGGAAGCUCACAAGACAGAUUAAAACAAUGUAGUUUAAUGAGGUGACUUAAAGGCACACACACACCAUAUAUGUAAAAGAAGGAGAAAGCUUAUUUUCUGGUGCUCUAGAGGCUGGAUUCUAAUGUUAAGAAAACAGAUUCCAUCUAAAUAUUAGGAAAAACAUGUUUACUGAAAGAGCUAUUUGACAAUGGAAAGACUUUCUCAGAGGGUUGCAGACUCUCCAUCUUUGGAGGUUUUAAAACAAAGUUUGAGUGAACAUCAGGGUUGCUUUAAUUAUAUAUUCUUGUGUAGCAGACAGUGGGCUUGGACAGCCCUUGUCAUCCCUUCUAACUCUAAAUUCUAUCAUUUUAAAUUUUGAAGGAGCCAACUGCUGCAAAAAUAGAGAAAGUAACCCAGCUGUGCUCCAGAGGGUUGAAUCUGGUUUAAUGGUUUGAAGUUACAGGACAACAGAUUUCAUUAGAACAGUGAUGGGCCGCCACACUACAACAAAUGUUUCAUCCUCGGCUGCUGCACCUGGCUGUGCAGGAGCCAAGGAUGAAAGGUUCUUCUUGGCAUGCGGCCGCAUGUCAGAAAAAAUGGCUAGGCACAUCAGUGCUGACACGCGUUUCAUAGGUUUGCCAUCACUGCAUUAGAAGGUACUUCUUGGCAAUAAGGGCAGUUCAGCUAAUGGAUGAGAAAUUCCCUCCUGGGCACACAGAAGACUGGGCGACUUAGAAAAUGCUGACCUGACUGUGCUCUGGCACCAUGAGAUGCAGAGCCAGUCUUAAGAAAUUGGGUCCACAACUUGCAAGUGUGGAGAAGAGCAAACCACAGACCACUUACUACAAUGCGG